CCUACGGGGGGCAGCAGUGAGGAAUAUUGGUCAAUGGGCGAGAGCCUGAACCAGCCAAGUAGCGUGAAGGAUGACUGCCCUACGGGUUGUAAACUUCUUUUAUAAGGGAGUAAAGUGAGUCACGUGUGCCUCUUUGGAUGUACCCUAUGAAUAAGGAUCGGCUAACUCCGUGCCAGCAGCCGCGGUAAUACGGAGGAUCCGAGCGUUAUCCGGAUUUAUUGGGGUUAAAGGGAGCGUAGGUGGGAUGUCAAGUCAGUUGUCAAAGUUUGCGGAGCAACCGUAAAAUUGCAGUUGAUACUGGCAGUCUUGAGUACAGUAGAGGUAGGCGGAAUUCGUGGUGUAGCGGUGAAAUGCGUAGAUAUCACGAAGAACUCCGAUUGCGAAGGCAGCUUACUG
rnacentral:rRNA from 1 species